AAAAAAAAAAAAAAGAAAUGAAAGGAUUGUCAUUUCUAAAACCUCAAGAAACUUGAUGAUGCAAUGUGAAGCUCACAAAGAACACACACUCACAAACAUAGUGAAAAUAGAGAGAAAAAUUCUCCGCUGGAUUUCUAUUAACUGCAAACUACAACUAGAUUACAUAGAAUUUAGGGGUAUUUAUAGAGUUUUAAGUCUCCCAAACUAACUAGGAAUAUAUGUAAUGCAGAAUAGGAAGUUUAGAAUU
rnacentral:misc_RNA from 1 species